GCCUGGCUGGCUCAGAUGGUAGAGUGUGCGACUCUUGAUCUCAGGGUUGUGGGUUUGAGCCCCACACUGGGUG
rnacentral:tRNA from 1 species